AUCUCUUUCCUAGAGCAGAUGAAUGAGUAAAUAGAAAAGUAGUGCUGUUACUAUAGCAACCAGCAUUGUGAAAUAAUAAUGCUAACCUUUCUGCAGCUGGCCAGUUCUGAAGAGACCACUACCCACCCUGGACCUGUUCGUUCAGGAGUCCUGACAUUCAGCCCCUCCCUCAAACCUCUGGAAACAGGCCUGGGGUGUUGUGCUGAGGUUCAGGGAGGGUGUCUAACAGCAGAACUGAACAUCUGCCAGAAACAAGUCCUGUUCCAACCACUGGAAAACACUUUUUAAUUCUUGAUGUGGAAGUUUAGAAAUUAAGGUUUUAGUUUGUGUCUUUAGCUAAAGUUAGUAUGUGAUAUGUACCAUGUCAAAGAUCUGAAUUCUAAGGUGUGUUUAGCAGAUGGCCAUGCUAUGUGCAUCCCAUGCUUCCUUCACUGGCUAAUAAGAGUUAAGAACCUGCAUGAGUUAAGUCCACAAGGAGCUGACAGGCCCUCUUCAGCCCAGGGAGAGCAAUGGAUCCAUGUGAAAGGUUGGCUGGCCUUUAAAGGGAAUCAAGCUCAGCCUUGCUAGUAAUAAUCAGCUACCCAUCCAACUGAUCCUUCUCAGCUUGGGAUGAGAUGGACUUCCUUAAUCACUGGACCCAACUGAGCAAGUGAGGGGGGGUUACAAAAAAGGCUGAGAGCUAGUGAAAUGAGUUUCAGGAGGGAGUGUACAUCCUUGGAUGGUCCCUGGUGGUAGAUGGCAGCAGAGCUGAGGGACACUUCUAAAAGGGACUGAGACAGGGCCCUGGAGUUGAGAAUCCUGACAAGGGGCAAGACCCCAGGGAGACAGCCUCUGAGUCUGUUCUGCAAAAGAACAGAGAAGUGGGAAGGAACAAGGAUGGAUUAAAAGUUCAAGCUUGCGGGAUGGUGGGGGAAAGUUGGUUUUGUUGUAUUAUGAUUUGUUUCACUUUUGAGUUACUUAAUGUAGAUGUACAGCCACUAGCCACCCACAGCAGGCUCAUACCAACAGGCUAAAGUUCAAGUGGAGCUGUUUCAUCGUUUUGUAGUCUUCCAGGCUUGGGCUGGCACCUGUGCUUUAGUGCCUUAUGGGGUGGGAAAGUCCCAGGGCUAUAGCUCCAGCCUGAACCUAGAACUCAACAAAUCAAUGAAACCGCUCCACCACCCAAGCCUUUUCUUUGCUGUGUAGACAUACCCUAAGG